rnacentral:rRNA from 1 species
CGGGAAGAGCUCAAAUUUGUAAUCUGGCGCUUUCAGCGUCCGAGUUGUAAUCUCUAGAAAUGUUUUCCGCGUUGCACCGCACACAAGUCUGUUGGAAUACAGCGGCACAGUGGUGAGACCCCCGUUCAUGGUGCGGAUGCGCAAUGCUUUGUGAUACAUUUUCGAAGAGUCGAGUUGUUUGGGAAUGCAGCUCAAAUUGGGUGGUAAAUUCCAUCUAAAGCUAAAUAUUGGCGAGAGACCGAUAGCGAACAAGUACCGUGAGGGAAAGAUGAAAAGCACUUUGGAAAGAGAGUUAACAGUACGUGAAAUUGUUGGAAGGGAAACGCUUGAAGUCAGACUUGCUGUUCGGAGUUCAGCCGCAAGGUGUACUCUCCGAGUUGCAGGCCAGCAUCAGUUUUUCGGGGUGGAAAAUCACGGUUUGAAGGUAGCAGUUUCGGCUGUGUUAUAGCUUUCCGUUGGAUACAUCCUGGGGGACUGAGGAACGCAGUGUGCUUUUAGCAGGGGUUUCGACCUCUUCACACUUAGGAUGCUGGUGGAAUGGCUUUAAACGAC